UUUGCUUCGGGCAUGAAGAACUGGAUGGAAGGCAAGUUUUAGAGCACUUUGGUUGUCACAUCGAAAGAUGGAUAGCCCUACUCCUAUAAUGGUUAGCCACUCAGUCCACGUAGAUGCACAGAAUACGGUGUUUCGGCGUUGAUAGAAUCCGCUGUUAGCGUUUAGCUUGGCACCAGGAAGAAGGAUUCAUCCCACAAGGUCUCGUUCCUGCCUGCAAUCCUUCCUGGCUGGUAAAACUGUUGGACGAGCAGGACUGGUCUUUGUCUUUCAUGCGGGCUCUCUUUCACUGGGAAAGCGACCUACGGAAGUCUUCUCACUUGGAAUACAGCUCACCAUCAUUUUAAGAAAAAAGACAGGUUAAUUAAAAUCAAGUACGAAGAAGGCUAUUCAGUGAGUUUACACGGAUGCAAGCAAAUAACUGAUAGUUGUCUGUGCCCAAGGUCAGAUUAUCGACAUCGGUAUUGUCAAAAUCGGGUAGCAAGAAGAUGCAUUGGCUGAUAACAUAUCCAUCGCGCUUUCCAGGUCCGUCCGGACUAGACCAUAGCAAGCUUAUCCACCACUAGCAGCACCGGUUACAUUUUCUCCAGUCGAACUAGAAGCUGCACUUGUUAUAGCAAAAGACAAAGAUGGGGUUGUGCUUCACUGUUUUUUCCAAAAAGAGCACGGUGGAACGAGCUGCAUCAGUAGCGCCCGGUUUUCCACUUGAUGUAAAGCCCCAACCGUGGGUAUAGUGAAUUGGGUAACAACAUUCGAGAUUAG
rnacentral:misc_RNA from 1 species